AGUGAACGCUGGCGGUAGGCCUAACACAUGCAAGUCGAACGGCAGCACAGUAAGAGCUUGCUCUUACGGGUGGCGAGUGGCGGACGGGUGAGGAAUACAUCGCAAUCUACUUUUUCGUGGGGGAUAACGUAGGGAAACUUACGCUAAUACCGCAUACGACCUACGGGUGAAAGCAGGGGAUCUUCGGACCUUUCGCGAUUGAAUGAGCCGAUGUCGGAUUAGCUAGUUGGCGGGGUAAAGGCCCACCAAGGCGACGAUCCGUAGCUGGUCUGAGAGGAUGAUCAGCCACACUGGAACUGAGACACGGUCCAGACUCCUACGGGAGGCAGCAGUGGGGAAUAUUGGACAAUGGGCGCAAGCCUGAUCCAGCCAUACCGCGUGGGUGAAGAAGGCCUUCGGGUUGUAAAGCCCUUUUGUUGGGAAAGAAAGGCAGCAGGUUAAUACCCCGCUGUUCUGACGGUACCCAAAGAAUAAGCACCGGCUAACUUCGUG
rnacentral:rRNA from 1 species